rnacentral:rRNA from 1 species
CCUACGGGAGGCAGCAGUGAGGAAUAUUGGACAAUGGGCGCAAGCCUGAUCCAGCCAUGCCGCGUGCAGGAUGACGGUCCUAUGGAUUGUAAACUGCUUUUAUACGAGAAGAAACACCCCUACGUGUAGGGACUUGACGGUAUCGUAAGAAUAAGGAUCGGCUAACUCCGUGCCAGCAGCCGCGGUAAUACGGAGGAUCCAAGCGUUAUCCGGAAUCAUUGGGUUUAAAGGGUCCGUAGGCGGUUUAGUAAGUCAGUGGUGAAAUCUCCCCGCUCAACGGGGAAACGGCCAUUGAUACUGCUAGACUUGAAUUAUUAGGAAGUAACUAGAAUAUGUAGUGUAGCGGUGAAAUGCUUAGAGAUUACAUGGAAUACCAAUUGCGAAGGCAGGUUACUACUAAUGGAUUGACGCUGAUGGACGAAAGCGUGGGUAGCGAACAGGAUUAGAUACCCUGGUAGUCCACGCCGUAAACGAAUGGAUACUAGCUGUUGGGUGCAAACUCAGUGGCUAAGCGAAAGUGAUAAGUAUCCCACCUGGGGAGUACGUUCGCAAGAAUGAAACUCAAAUGAAUUGACGG